UACGAAGGGGACUAGCGUUGUUCGGAUUUACUGGGCGUAAAGCGCGCGUAGGCGGAUCGCUAAGUCAGGGGUGAAAUCCCAGGGCUCAACCCUGGAACUGCCUUUGAUACUGACGGUCUGGAGAUCGGGAGAGGUUGGUGGAAUUCCGAGUGUAGAGGUGAAAUGCGUAGAGAUCGGGAGGAACACCCGUGGCGAAGGCGGCCAACUGGGCCGGACCUGACGCUGAGGCGCGAAGGCGUGGGGAGCGAACGGG
rnacentral:rRNA from 1 species